AGCGAACGCUGGCGGCAGGCUUAACACAUGCAAGUCGAACGGGCAUCUUCGGAUGUCAGUGGCAGACGGGUGAGUAACACGUGGGAACGUACCCUUCGGUUCGGAAUAACUCAGGGAAACUUGAGCUAAUACCGGAUACGCCCUUUUGGGGAAAGGUUUACUGCCGAAGGAUCGGCCCGCGUCUGAUUAGCUUGUUGGUGGGGUAACGGCCUACCAAGGCGACGAUAAGUAGCUGGUCUGAGAGGAUGAUCAGCCACACUGGGACUGAGACACGGCCCAGACUCCUACGGGAGGCAGCAGUGGGGAAUAUUGGAAAAUGGGCGCAAGCCUGAUCCAGCCAUGCCGCGUGAGUGAUGAAGGCCUUAGGGUUGUAAAGCUCUUUUGUCCGGGACGAUAAUGACGGUACCGGAAGAAUAAGCCCCGGCUAACUUCGUG
rnacentral:rRNA from 1 species